AAUUUUAUUUUGCAAAAAUCGAAACCCCGUAUAAUUAGUUUUCGUUUGGUGCUUGAUAUUCUACUUGGCCCACUUUUCUUUUAAUAACUGGCAUUAAAUCUUCAUUUACUCUGAUAAUUAAUCGAUCAUCUCUCUCUCCCUCUCUCUCUCUCUCUCUCUCUCCUCCGGGACACAGCGCUGCCCUCAUCUCGCCGCCGACUACACCACCGACUCCAGCCGCUGCCCUCAUCUCGAUCUUUCAACAAAUCUUUCCAUCUGGUUGCUGAAAGAUCUGCAGAUGCAAAGGCUUAGGCUCAGAGAGCCUCUAUCCAAAUUAGUUCUUGACAAGAAGGUUCGAAUAGUUAACCAUAGCUGGGACAUGGGUACUCUUUCUUAUGCCUCUUACCAGUUCACGGCAGCUACCAGCUGAAUCUCCAUCGAAAAAUUGUGCUACUAUAUGGUGUCUAUGACGUCUCGUUAAAUAUUUAGAUACAUCAAAAAAUAAGAUUGGAUGCAAACUGGAAGUUGUUGUGGGCCUUGUGGCCAUGUAAAUUGUGUACUUCUCAUUUGAUUGUAAAAUAUUUUGUGUUUGUAUGAUGUUAACGAUUGGUAUAUAUACAUUACACCUAAGAUGAAUCAUCGAUACUUGAUGAUUAGCCA